UCGCGGCUUAUCACCGGCAGUCCCCUUAGAGUGCCCAACUGAAUGAUGGCAACUAAGGGCGAGGGUUGCGCUCGUUGCGGGACUUAACCCAACAUCUCACGACACGAGCUGACGACAGCCAUGCAGCACCUGUGUCGGCUCCCCUUGCGGAGUCGGGCCCCUUUCGGUUUCCUACCACCGACAUGUCAAACCCAGGUAAGGUUCUUCGGGUCGCAUCGAAUUAAGCCGCAUGCUCCGCCGCUUGUGCGGGGACCCGUCAAUUCCUUUGAGUUUUAGCCUUGCGGCCGUACUCCCCAGGCGGGGCACUUAAUGCGUUAGCUGCGGCACGGAUCCCGUUGGUUGAGACCCACACCUAGUGCCCAACGUUUACGGCGUGGACUAC
rnacentral:misc_RNA from 1 species